rnacentral:misc_RNA from 1 species
GCGCUCGCAAACCAUCCUGAUAUCCUCAACUAGGCUGCCUGACCGCAUAAAGUAGUUUAAUAAAUUUAAUUGCUUUAGUUAGUUUUUAGCUGCUUCUGCAACCGAUCUCUUCCUCUCUCCCUCUGCGACUGUGAUUUCCUUACAACUGUGACAUCUUCAACUGUUAUCUUUGUAACGCAUUUUCCUUGCAACUGUCACUGCAUUGGACUGUGGUCUAUUUUGCAUCUUGAAAACACUCUUCACUGUAAUAAUUUCUGAUGGUCAAUAUGGCCAUGGCUGUCUCUGCAAUUGGAUUUGAAGGUUAUGAGAAGAGGCUGGAAAUAUCGUUUUUUGAGCUUGGCAUUUUUGUUGAUCCUGAAGGAAAAGGCUUUCGAUCUCUGUCCAAGUCUCAGUUGGAUGAGAUUCUUGGACCAGCCGAGUGCACUAUUGUUGAUUCACUGUCCAAUGAUCAUGUCGACUCUUACGUACUUUCUGAGUCUAGCCUCUUUGUAUAUCCUUACAA